rnacentral:rRNA from 1 species
CCUACGGGGGGCAGCAGUGGGGAAUAUUGGGCAAUGGGCGCAAGCCUGACCCAGCAACGCCGCGUGAAGGAAGAAGGCUUUCGGGUUGUAAACUUCUUUUCUCAGGGACGAAGCAAGUGACGGUACCUGAGUAAUAAGCCACGGCUAACUACGUGCCAGCAGCCGCGGGAAUACGUCGGUGGCCAGCGUUAUCCGGAUUUGCUGGGGGUAAAGGGCGUUGAGGCGGGGACGGAAGUCAGAGGUGAAAACCACGGGGCUAAACCGCGGCCUGCAUUUGAAACUGGGUAUCUUGAGUACUGUAGAGGCAGACGGAAUUCCCAGUGUAGCGGUGAAAUGCGUAGAUAUUAGGAGGAACACCAGUGGCGAAGGCAGCCUGCUGGAUAGAAACUGACGCUGAGGCACGAAAGCGUGGGGAGCAAACAGGAUUAGAUACCCUUGUAGUC